rnacentral:rRNA from 1 species
GACGAACGCUGGCGGCAUGCCUAACACAUGCAAGUCGAGGGGCCCUUCGGGGUCACUGGCGCACGGGUGAGUAACACGUAGGUCAUCUACCCCUAUCACAGACAUAACAGCGGGAAACCGUUGCUAAUAUCUGAUGAGGUCGUGAGAUCAAAGCUUCGGCGGAUAGGGAUGAGCCUGCGGCUGAUUAGCUAGUUGGUGAGGUAAUGGCUCACCAAGGCAACGAUCAGUAGCUGGUCUGAGAGGACGAACAGCCACACUGGAACUGAGACACGGUCCAGACUCCUACGGGAGGCAGCAGUGAGGAAUAUUGGUCAAUGGGAGCAAUCCUGAACCAGCAAUGCCGCGUGUGGGAUGACAGGGCUCAGCCUUGUAAACCACUGUCGGACGGGACGAGAAGGAUCUUAAAGGUCCUGGGACGGUACCGUCAAAGGAAGGGUCGGCUAACUACGUGCCAGCAGCCGCGGUAAUG